CUCCGUUUCAUAAUGUAAGUCAUUCUAGCAUUUCCUACAUUCAUAUUGAUGUUAUUGAAUCUAGACAUAUAUAUCUAUCUAUAUUCAUUAACAUCAAUAUGAAUGUGGGAAAUGCUAGAAUGACUUAUAUUGUGAAACGG
rnacentral:misc_RNA from 1 species